rnacentral:rRNA from 1 species
UACGGAGGAUGCGAGCGUUAUCCGGAUUUAUUGGGUUUAAAGGGUGCGCAGGCGGAUUUUUAAGUCAGCGGUCAAAUCGUGGGGCUCAACCCCAUCCAGCCGUUGAAACUGGGGAUCUAGAGUGUGCGAGAAGUAUGCGGAAUGCGCGGUGUAGCGGUGAAAUGCGUAGAUAUUAGGAAGAACACCAGUGGCGAAGGCGGAUGACUGGACGACAACUGACGGUGAGGCGCGAAAGCGUGGGGAGCAAACAGG